rnacentral:rRNA from 1 species
GAUGAACGCUGGCGGCGUGCUUAACACAUGCAAGUCGAACGGAAAGGCCCAAGCUUGCUUGGGUACUCGAGUGGCGAACGGGUGAGUAACACGUGGGUGAUCUGCCCUGCACUUCGGGAUAAGCCUGGGAAACUGGGUCUAAUACCGGAUAGGACCACAUUUUGGAUGGUGUGGUGGAAAGUUUUUCGGUGUGGGAUGAGCUCGCGGCCUAUCAGCUUGUUGGUGGGGUAAUGGCCUACCAAGGCGUCGACGGGUAGCCGGCCUGAGAGGGUGUACGGCCACAUUGGGACUGAGAUACGGCCCAGACUCCUACGGGAGGCAGCAGUGGGGAAUAUUGCACAAUGGGCGCAAGCCUGAUGCAGCGACGCCGCGUGGGGGAUGACGGCCUUCGGGUUGUAAACUCCUUUCGCUAGGGACGAAGCGUUUUUGUGACGGUACCUGGAGAAGAAGCACCGGCUAACUACGUGCCAGCAGCCGCGGUAA